rnacentral:rRNA from 1 species
UAUGUUAAGUGGAAAAGGAUGUGGCGUUGCCCAGACAACUAGGAUGUUGGCUUAGAAGCAGCCAUCAUUUAAAGAGUGCGUAAUAGCUCACUAGUCGAGUGACACUGCGCCGAAAAUGUACCGGGGCUAAACAUAUUACCGAAGCUGUGGAUUGUCCUUUGGACAAUGGUAGGAGAGCGUUCUAAGGGCGUUGAAGCAUGAUCGUAAGGACAUGUGGAGCGCUUAGAAGUGAGAAUGCCGGUGUGAGUAGCGAAAGACGGGUGAGAAUCCCGUCCACCGAUUGACUAAGGUUUCCAGAGGAAGGCUCGUCCGCUCUGGGUUAGUCGGGUCCUAAGCUGAGGCCGACAGGCGUAGGCGAUGGAUAACAGGUUGAUAUUCCUGUACCACCUAUAAUCGUUUUAAUCGAUGGGGGGACGCAGUAGGAUAGGCGAAGCGUGCGAUUGGAUUGCACGUCUAAGCAGUAAGGCUGAGUAUUAGGCAAAUCCGGUACUCGUUAAGGCUGAGCUGUGAUGGGGAGAAGACAUUGUGUCUUCGAGUCGUUGAUUUCACACUGCCGAGAAAAGCCUCUAGAUAGAAAAUAGGUGCCCGUACCGCAAACCGACACAGGUAGUCAAGAUGAGAAUUCUAAGGUGAGCGAGCGAACUCUCGUUAAGGAACUCGGCAAAAUGACCCCGUAACUUCGGGAGAAGGGGUGCUCUUUAGGGUUAACGCCCAGAAGAGCCGCAGUGAAUAGGCCCAAGCGACUGUUUAUCAAAAACACAGGUCUCUGCUAAACCGUAAGGUGAUGUAUAGGGGCUGACGCCUGCCCGGUGCUGGAAGGUUAAGAGGAGUGGUUAGCUUCUGCGAAGCUACGAAUCGAAGCCCCAGUAAACGGCGGCCGUAACUAUAACGGUCCUAAGGUAGCGAAAUUCCUUGUCGGGUAAGUUCCGACCCGCACGAAAGGCGUAACGAUUUGGGCACUGUCUCAACGAGAGACUCGGUGAAAUCAUAGUACCUGUGAAGAUGCAGGUUACCCGCGACAGGACGGAAAGACCCCGUGGAGCUUUACUGUAGCCUGAUAUUGAAAUUCGGCACAGCUUGUACAGGAUAGGUAGGAGCCUUUGAAACGUGAGCGCUAGCUUACGUGGAGGCGCUGGUGGG